GAUGAACGCUGGCGGCGUGCCUAAUACAUGCAAGUCGAGCGAAGCGGGGACGGGUGAGUAACACGUGUGUAACCUCCUAUAAGACUGGGAUAACUUCGGGAAACCGGUGCUAAACCGGCUACUUAUCGCUGGUUCCGGGCUGCAUUAGCUAGUUGGGAAGGUAACGGCUUACCAAGGCAACGAUGCAUAGCCGACCUGAGAGGAUGAUCAGCCACACUGGAACUGAGACACGGUCCAGACUCCUACGGGAGGCAGCAGUAGGGAAUCUUCCGCAAUGGGCGAAAGCCUGACGGAGCAACGCCGCGUGAGUGAUGAAGGUCUUCGGGUCGUAAAACUCUGUUAUUAGGGAGGCGGUACCUAAUCAGAAAGCCACGGCUAACUACGUGCCAGCAGCCGCGGUAAUUC
rnacentral:rRNA from 1 species